rnacentral:rRNA from 1 species
GAACGGGUGAGUAAUGUAUCGGAACGUACCUUUCAGUGGGGGAUAACGUAGCGAAAGUUACGCUAAUACCGCAUAUUCUGUGAGCAGGAAAGCAGGGGACCUUCGGGCCUUGCGCUGAUUGAGUGGCUGAUAUCAGAUUAGCUAGUUGGUGAGGUAAAGGCUCACCAAGGCGACGAUCUGUAGCGGGUCUGAGAGGAUGAUCCGCCACACUGGAACUGAGACACGGUCCAGACUCCUACGGGAGGCAGCAGUGGGGAAUUUUGGACAAUGGGGGCAACCCUGAUCCAGCCAUGCCGCGUGAGUGAAGAAGGCCUUCGGGUUGUAAAGCUCUUUCGGCCGGGAAAAAAUCGCACGGGCUAAUACUCUGUGUGGAUGAUGGUACCGGAAUAAGAAGCACCGGCUAACUACGUGCCAGCAGCCGCGGUAAUACGUAGGGUGCGAGCGUUAAUCGGAAUUACUGGGCGUAAAGCGUGCGCAGGCGGUUUUUUAAGACAGGCGUGAAAUCCCCGGGCUCAACCUGGGAACUGCGCUUGUGACUGGAAGGCUAGAGUACGGCAGAGGGGGGUGGAAUUCCACGUGUAGCAGUGAAAUGCGUAGAGAUGUGGAGGAACACCAAUGGCGAAGGCAGCCCCCUGGGUCGAUACUGACGCUCAUGCACGAAAGCGUGGGGAGCAAACAGGAUUAGAUACCCUGGUAGUCCACGCCCUANACGAUGUCAACUAGGUGUUGGGUGGGUAAAACCAUUUAGUACCGGAGCUAACGCGUGAAGUUGACCGCCUGGGGAGUACGGCCGCAAGGUUAAAACU